rnacentral:ncRNA from 2 species
AGUUUAAAUUCUAUCAUUAGUUUUAUACACAAAAUUUGUUAGGAAUUUGGUGAAAAUCCAAAACUGUCGCGCAACUGUAAUUCUAAAUAAANAGAUAAGUCAGAUACUAACCAUAUGAUACAUUCCGCG